GGGGGACGAUCGCCUAAACGGUUUUUACCCCUUAUGUGCAAAACGGUCCGUUACAAUGCGCAAUACACCAGAGCUGGCUAAAGCUCUAGGACAUGUGAGUAGACUGGAAUUCUUUUAAUCUUUUAUCAUUUUUUUGUGGAUUUAUUACACUAUUGGAGUUUUUUUUAUUUCAUUGUUUUAUGAAUCCUGAGUGUCCCUGGUGACCUACUAGCCUAAGAAGGAAGAUACCAUAAAGAAUCCUCAUUCGCCUUCAAGAUUUUUAUUUUUGGGACUGCUGCUAAUUUCUCUUUGGGUACCUGUUUCGUUAUCACUUGUGUUUUUUUAAGUAUUUUAUUUUUAUCUGUUUCUAUUGUAUAAUAUCUUAUCUGACUCAUCCUUGCCGCACCCUUCCUUCCUUUUUUCAUUUUUCUUUUUUCUAUUGUUAUAAGGAGCUGCUCCAUCUCCCCUCUUUUGUAUCAUGGAAGCUCUAGUCUGCAUCUCUGGCUGAUGCUGCCUGAAUAUAUUACUCCUGCAAGUGAUUACGGCAAAGCUCUGAUACAACCACAAUGCUGG